rnacentral:rRNA from 1 species
UACGAAGGGGGCGAGCGUUGUUCGGAAUUACUGGGCGUAAAGGGCUCGUAGGCGGCCAACUAAGUCAGACGUGAAAUCCCUCGGCUUAACCGGGGAACUGCGUCUGAUACUGGAUGGCUAGAGGUUGGGAGAGGGAUGCGGAAUUCCAGGUGUAGCGGUGAAAUGCGUAGAUAUCUGGAGGAACACCGGUGGCGAAGGCGGCAUCCUGGACCAAUUCUGACGCUGAGGAGCGAAAGCCAGGGGAGCAAACGGG